rnacentral:lncRNA from 1 species
CGCGGCCCCAACGCCGACGGUGCGGCCCCACGGCGCCCGCCCCACAGGUGAGCUGCUGGUUGGGGGGGAUGAGGGUCUGGGGGGAUCUAUGGGGCCCAUGGGGUGAGAGAUGUGGGGUGUUCCUAUGGAUCUAUGGGGCCCAUGGGGUGAGUGAGUGUUCCUAUGGAUCUAUGGGGCCCAUGGGGUCGGAUCUAUGGGGCCCACGGGGUCAGAUCUAUGGGGCCCACGGGGUCGGAUCUAUGGGGCCUACGGGUGCCCAUCUAUGGGGCCGAGGACUGGAACGUGUGGGGUGAUUGUUCCCUUCUCUCUUGGUGGGAUCUAUGGGGUCCAUAGGGUUGGAUCUAUGGGGCCGGCAGGUGUCCGUCUGUGGGAUCUGUCAGGUUGGGAUCUGUGGGGUGAGUGGUUGCUGGCACGGAGCUGUGGGGCCGCUUGGGGGUCAUCUGUGGGGUUUUGUAGGGUCGGAUGGGGGGGCUCUGUGGGGUGGCCCUAUAGGGUGGGUUCUGUAGGGUGGCUCUGUAGGGUGGGUUUUGUAGGGUGGCUCUAUGGGGUGGGUUUUGUAGGGUGGCUCUAUGGGGUGGGUUCUGUAGGGUGGCUCUAUGGGGUGGGUUCUGUAGGGUGGCUCUAUGGGGUGGGUUUCGUAGGGUGGUUCUGUAGGGUGGGUUCUGUAGGGCGGCUCUAUGGGGUGGCGGAUUGUUCCCUAUUGUCUUGCUUGGAUCUGUGGGGUCUUGUAGGAUCUAUGGGGUCUUGUGGGAUCUAUGGGGUCUUAUGGGGCCCUGUAGGGCCUAUGGGGUCUUGUAGGGUCUGUGGGACCUAUGGGGUCUUAUGGGGUGUUGUAGGAUCUGUGGGGCCUUGUAGGGCCUAUGGGGUCUUAUGGGGUCUAUGGGGUCUUGCAGGAUCUAUGGGGUGUUGUAGGAUCUGUGGGGUCUUGUAGGAUCUGUGGGGUCUUGUAGGGUCUAUGGGGUCUUAUGGGAUCUAUGGGGUCUUGUGGGGCCCUGUAGGGCCUAUGAGGUCUUGUAGGGUCUGUGGGGUCUUGUGGGAUCUAUGGGGUCUUAUGGGCUCUAUGGCAUCUUGUAGGGUCUAUGGGGUCUUGUAGGAUCUGUGGUGUCUUGUAGGGUCUGUGGGGUCCUGUAUGAUCUAUGGGGUCUUGUAGGGUCUGUGGGGUCUUAUGGUGUCUUGUAGGAUCUAUGGGGUCUUGUGGGGUCUUAUGGUGUCUUAUAGGAUCUGUGGGGUCUUGUGGGGUCUUAUGGUGUCUUGUAGGAUGUAUGGGGUUUUACGGGGUCUUGUAGGAUCUAUGGGGUCUCGUAGGGUCUGUGGGGUCUUGUAGGGUGGGAUAUUUGGGGCAAAGCGGGUGGCGAUCUGUGGGGCCGUUCUUAUGGGAUCUGUGGGGUGAUUGGUGUUAGUGUUGUUUGUUGGAUCUGUGGGUCAGUGGGGUCGGAUCUGUGGGGUCAGAUCUGUGGGGUCGGAUCUGUGGGGCUCAUUGAGAUCUGUGGGGUCGGAUC